rnacentral:rRNA from 1 species
GUAGUUUAAUACGAAGCAACGCGAAGAACCUUACCCGGUCUUGACAUCCCUCUGACAGGUCUGUAAUGAGACUUUUUUUGGGACUGAGGAAACAGGGGGGCCAUGGUUUUUCUCCACUUGUUUUGGGAAAAUUUGGGUUAAGUCCCCCAAAGGGUCCAACCCUUUUUUUAUGUACCCCACGUUAAGAUGAGCACUCUAGGGAGACUGCCAGGGAUAACCCGGAGGAAGGUGGGGAUGACGUCAAAUCAUCAUGCCCCUUAUGACCUGGGCUACACACGUGCUACAAUGGCGUAAACAAAGGGAAGCGAAGUGGUGACGUGGAGCAAAUCCCAAAAAUAACGUCUCAGUUCGGAUUGUAGUCUGCAACUCGACUACACGAAGCUGGAAUCGCUAGUAAUCGA